CACGUAGGCUGUUAUGUAAGUCAGGGGUGAAAUCCCACGGCUCAACCGUGGAACUGCCCUUGAUACUGCACGACUCGAAUCCGGGAGAGGGUGGCGGAAUUCCAGGUGUAGGAGUGAAAUCCGUAGAUAUCUGGAGGAACAUCAGUGGCGAAGGCGGCCACCUGGACCGGUAUUGACGCUGAGGUGCGAAAGCGUGGGGAGCAAACA
rnacentral:rRNA from 1 species